CGCCUGGCCGUGGAAGAGCACGGCCGCCGCCUGCCCGCCCUGAUUCUCUCUCUCGGUUUCUAGAUCUCUAGAUCGGAACAGGGCAUGCGCCCUCUCUGCCGGAGUCCAAGCCAGGCCGCCGUCUCUUCGUCCUCCAUCGCUGCCGUUCGUCGUCGGAUUCGCUGUGAGGAGCCGAGCACCGUCUCACAAAGAUCGGAGACAACGGCAGGUUCACCGCCGCCGCUCCGUCGCCGGCGACGAGCCACCGCGGCUGCCGCCUCCCUCUGAUUUCGACUCACACACACAGUAGGUUCAAGCCACAAUUUAGUUCACAAAAUAGCAUAGGAUUUUGAGCAGAAAUCAAAUACUGUAAAUGCUUAUUGAAAUCUGAAAUUCUUUUCUUGAAACUGAACUAGUCUAUAAAUUUCAGUUCAUAUGUGCAUA